rnacentral:rRNA from 1 species
UAAACGACGUACUGCUACUACAUGUGGUGUGUACGGACGAAUCGAAAGCUUGCUUUUGAUUCGUUAGCGGCGGACGGGUGAGUAACACGUGGGCAACCUGCCCUGUAGACGGGGAUAACACCGAGAAAUCGGUGCUAAUACCGGAUAACACGAAAUGUCGCAUGACGUUUCGUUGAAAGACGGCGCAAGCUGUCGCUACAGGAUGGGCCCGCGGCGCAUUAGCUAGUUGGUGAGGUAACGGCUCACCAAGGCGACGAUGCGUAGCCGACCUGAGAGGGUGAUCGGCCACACUGGGACUGAGACACGGCCCAGACUCCUACGGGAGGCAGCAGUAGGGAAUCUUCCGCAAUGGACGAAAGUCUGACGGAGCAACGCCGCGUGAGCGAAGAAGGCCUUCGGGUCGUAAAGCUCUGUUGUUAGGGAAGAACAAGUAACGCAGUAACUGGCGUUACCGUGACGGUACCUAACGAGAAAGCCACGGCUAACUACGUGCCAGCAGCCGCGGUAAUACGUAGGUGGCAAGCGUUGUCCGGAAUUAUUGGGCGUAAAGCGCGCGCAGGCGGUUCCUUAAGUCUGAUGUGAAAGCCCACGGCUCAACCGUGGAGGGUCAUUGGAAACUGGGGGACUUGAGUGCAGAAGAGGAUAGCGGAAUUCCUGGG